UAGGAGAUCCCUCGUUUUUCUAGGCCCCCGGCUCGGGGUGCCUUCCUUCCCCAUGGCGGGACACCUCGCUUCUGAUUUCGCCUUCUCGCCGCCGCUGGGCGGUGGAGGCGAUGGGCCAGGAGGGCCAGAGCCGGGCUGGGUUGAUCCUCGGACCUGGAUGAGCUUCCAAGGGCCUCCUGGUGGGUCGGAGAUAGUACAGGGGUUGGUGCCCGGCGCCGAGGUGUGGGGGCUUCCCCCGUGCCUCCCGCCCUAUGACGUGCGGAGAGAUGGCCUACUGUGCACCGCAGGUUGGAGUGGGGCCGGUGCCCUCAGGCGGCCUGGAGAACCCUCAGCCCGAGGGCGAGGCGGGAGCCGGGGUGGAGAGCAAAUCCGAGGGGGCCUCCCUGGACUCCUGUGCCGCCCCCGCAGGCGCCGCGAAGCUGGACAAGGAGAAGCUGGAGCCGAACCCUGAGGAGUCCCAGGACAUUAAAGCUCUUCAGAAAGACCUUGAACCAUUUGCCAAGGUCCUAAAGCAGAAGAGGAUCACCCUAGGAUAUACUCAGGCCGAUGUGGGGCUCACUCUGGGGGUUCUCUUUGGAAAGGUGUUCAGCCAAACGACUAUCUGCCGUUUUGAGGCUUUGCAGCUCAGUUUCAAGAACAUGUGUAAGCUGCGGCCCCUGCUGCAGAAGGUGGAGGAAGCUGACAACAACGAGAAUCUGCAGGAGAUAUGCAAGGCAGAGACCCUUGUGCAGGCCCAAAAGAGAAAGCGGACGAGUAUCCAGAAGCGAGUGAGAGGCAACCUGGAGAGCAUGCUCCUGCAGUGCCCGAAGCCCACCCUGCAGCAAAUUAGCCACAUCGCCCAGCAGCUCGGGCUGGAGAAGGACGUGGUCCGAGUGUGGUUCUGCAACCGUCGCCAGAAGGGCAAACGAUCAAGCAGUGACUACUCUCAACGCAAGGAUUUUGAGGCUGCGGGGGCUCCUUUCGCAGGGGGACCCGUAUCCUUUCCUCUGAAGCCAGGGCCCCAUUUUGGUACCCCAGGCUACCGGGACCCUCAUUUCACUACGCUGUACUCUUCGGUCCCAUUCCCUGAGGGUGAGGCCUUUCCCUCGGUGUCUGUCACCGCUCUGGGUUUUCCUAUGCGUUCAAACUGA